rnacentral:rRNA from 1 species
GACGAACGCUGGCGGCGUGCUUAACACAUGCAAGUCGAACGGAAAGGCCCUGCUUUCGUGGGGUGCUCGAGUGGCGAACGGGUGAGUAACACGUGAGUAACCUGCCCUUGACUUUGGGAUAACUUCAGGAAACUGGGGCUAAUACCGGACAGGAGCCCCUGCUGCGUGGAGGGGGUUGGAAAUUUUCGGCGGUCGGGGUUGGACUCGCGGCUUAUCAGCUUGUUGGUGGGGUAGUGGCUUACCAAGGCUUUGACGGGUAGCCGGCCUGAGAGGGUGACCGGCCACAUUGGGACUGAGGUACGGCGCAGACUCCUACGGGAGGCAGCGGUGGGGAGUAUUGCACAAUGGGCGGAAGCCUGAGGCAGCAGCGCUGCGUGCGGGAUGACGGCCUUCGGGUUGUGAACCGCUUUCGCCUGUGACGAAGCGGGAGUGACGGUAAUGGGUAAAGAAGCACCGGCUAACUACGUG